GGUCCGACUACAGCCACCUGUCCUCCACCAGCAGUGAGCUUUCUGUGGAGGAGGCACAGGACCCUUUCCUGGUGAGCAUCCACAUCAUCGCAGACCCAGGGGAGUCACAGCCACUGCAGGAGGCCAUCGACAAGGUUUUGGCGUGGGUUCACCCUGAUCUCCCACUGUUCCGAGUGUCUGAGAGGCGCACAACCAGGCGAAGGCG
rnacentral:lncRNA from 1 species